rnacentral:rRNA from 1 species
UACGAGAGGUGCAAGCGUUGUCCGGAUUUAUUGGGCGUAAAGCGUUUCUAAAGGCGCUUAAGGAAGUUAUCUUUUAAAUACCGAAGCUCAACUUCGGAAAGGGAGAUAAUACUCCUUGAGUUGAAAUAUUUCGGGGUUACUAGAACUAUCGGUGUAGGGGUGAAAUCCGUUGAUAUCGAUAGGAAUUCCAAGGGCGAAGGCAGGUAACUAGGAAUUUUUUGACGCUGAUGAACGAAAGCUAGGGGAGCGAAAGGG